GACGAACGCUGGCGGCGUGCUUAACACAUGCAAGUCGAACGGAAAGGCCCUGCUUUUGUGGGGUGCUCGAGUGGCGAACGGGUGUGUAACACGUGAGUAACCUGCCCUUGACUUUGGGAUAACUUCAGGAAACUGGGGCUAAUACCGGAUAGGAGCUCCUGCUGCAUGGUGGGGGUUGGAAAGUUUCGGCGGUUGGGGAUGGACUCGCGGCUUAUCAGCUUGUUGGUGGGGUAGUGGCUUACCAAGGCUUUGACGGGUAGCCGGCCUGAGAGGGUGACCGGCCACAUGGGGACUGAGAGACGGCCCAGACUCCUACGGGAGGCAGCAGUGGGGAAUAUUGCACAAUGGGCGGAAGCCUGAUGCAGCAACGCCGCGUGCGGGAUGACGGCCUUCGGGUUGUAAACCGCUUUCGCCUGUGACGAAGCGUGAGUGACGGUAAUGGGUAAAGAAGCACCGGCUAACUACGUG
rnacentral:rRNA from 1 species